UUUUCCUUUCUGGAUUUUUACCUGUAUUUACAUGCAUUUAAACAGUAUAUUGUCAUUGCACACCUGAUCCAGUAGAGGGAGCGUGCGCGUGAGAGACAAUUAAAGGCCUUGAACAGGUGAGACCACGCUGACUGUUAAUUAAUUGAAGCAUUUUCCUCUUUUUCGUGUUUGUGCUGUUUUGCGUUGGGAUUUUCUUGAUUUAUGGGCUCGGGCUUUUCGUUUAUGAGGGACUGAGACGAAAUCUACCCGGAAUUGGAGAUAUGAACUGGCGGGGACGUACUGUGGUCGGGGAUCUGGCCCUGGCCGGGCCGCAGCAGCAGCAGCACUUUGGUUCCUCCGGCCUGGAUCAGCUCGAUGGCCCGAGUGUGUGUGAUACCCUGAGUGGGCUCACCAUUGAUCUCCACUAUCUGAUCUCCCACCUUAUGGAGGUUGUACCUGUCAUCCCGGCUGGCAGCCUGCUGGCCCACUGCUUUGUGCUGAGAAGCCGGACUCUGCUUGGCUGAGCUUGUGCCUGACGGAGGACCGCUGUGCUCUGAAAAAUAAAUAGGAUGGUGGCGGUUUGUUCUUUGAGGUGAGGAUGACGAAGCCGAAGCCUUCGUUGUCUUUGCGCUGUAGGGUGAUGUCGUAGGGCUCGGGCUGGGACGGACUGGGCACCUCGAUGUGCGGUGGUUUGGG